UAUCAAUUUCUUUCAUGGUAUCAGAGCAAGGCUUCAUAUGUUGGGCCCAACGGCCACACGUGCUCCCACAUUGAAAUGUUAAAGGACCUAGCCUGGGUUUAUAAGGAGUUGGGCUACUCCCCUCAUUGCCAAUUGGUUUUGGGGUGGAACCUCAACUUCUUUCAUGGCAGACCUUAGCCGACCUCCAUGGCAGCCAACCUCCAUGGCAGAAAGCAAACCAUCAGGCACGGCUUCGGAAACCAAGUGGGGUAAUCCCAAUCACCAACUAUACCUUCAUUAUUCAGACCAACCCGGUGCUAUUCUUGUGCCGCAGCCUUUGGUCGAAGAUAAUUACAGCACAUGGAAACAAUCCAUGACUAUGGCCUUAACGAUCAAGAACAAAGUCGGACUCAUAGAUGGUUCGAUCGAAGAGCCGAAUGGGAAGGAUCCAAGUGAAUGGCAGCAAUGAAAUCGUUGCAAUACUUUGGUCCAAACUUGGCUGCUAGGAUCGAUGUCAAAAGACAUCGCCAGCAGCAUGAUUAAAUGCAAGAAUGCUAGGCAGAUGUGGCUGGAACUGCAGGAGAGAUUCUCACAUGUGAACGUGUUCAACUGUUCAAUAUCAAGAACGAGAUUCAUGACUGUGCGCAGGGAAGUAUGUCCGUGGGAUCUUAUUUCACGAAAUUGAAGGGACUAUGGGAUGAACGUGACGCUUUGUGCACCUUCCCAACCUGCACUUGUGGAUUUGUCAAAGAAAUGGCUGCAUAUUUGGACACGCAGAAGACCAUGAAGUUCCUCAUGGGUCUCAAUGACUCAUAUGCAAGUGUUCGUAGCAACACUUUGCUGCAAAAUCCCUUACCCACAGUGAACAAGGCGUACUCCCUAGUUCUGCGGCAUGAGAAGUAAUCGGAAGUGACAACGGGUAAAGCUCAGGCACAACCAGAUGCGGCCGUGUUUGCCGUGAAGAAUUCUAGCCGUGAAUCCGAAGGAGAAAAGGGUGAGUUGAAGUGCACCAAGUGCAACAAAACAAAUCACACUGCCAAGAAUUGCCGUGCACACCUAAAAUGCACGUUUUGCUGAUGGAAGGGUCACACAUCCGAUUAUUGCCGCAAGAAGAAGGCAGCGGCUGAGGCCGAGUUUGGUGCGAUGAUUUCCAAAGGGAACCAAGCAGCAACGUGUGUGACAGAGAGGAAAGAGAUGCAAUUCCCCUUUAUUGCUGAAGAGUGCAAACAGAUAUUGAGUUAGCUGCAUAACAGGUCCUCCUCUGCUAAUCAUGUUGGUAAUUCCACAACCCAUGCCCUUUCAGGUAAAGCCUUUUCACUCAACUCUAAUAGCAAACAAAGUACUUGGAUUUUAGAUGGUGGAUGCAUGGACCAUAUGAUUUAUGAUUCCAACCUGUUCUCUACCUCGAGGCCGGUCACUAAUCACACAGUAGAAUUGCCGAAUGGGUCCGUGGCACAAGUGACCCACAUUGGCACAGUUGCCUUGUCUCCCAAAUUGAUUCUUGAGAACGUUUUGUGUGUCCCGUAUUUCAAAUUGAAUUUGAUUUCUAUUAGCAAGUUAGCCAAUUCAUCUUACAUAACCAUUUUUCUAAACCAAUUUUGUAUCAUACAGGACCUAUGUUCGGGGAUGAUGAUUGGGACGAGAAUUGAACGGGAGGGCCUCUACCCGAUCGAGGCAAGACAGGAACAUGCAAUCAGGCACAAAAAUCCAGCCCAUCCCUUUGGCACCAACGCCUUGGCCAUCUAUCUCCCAGAGUUCUUCCAUUAUUCUCUUUUCCAAAUUUGAAACAUACCUCUUGUGAUACUGACAAGUGUGCAAUUUGCCCUUUGGCUAAACAAACAAAACUUCCUUUUCCUUCAAGUUCAAUUACUACUCAUUCUAGUUUUGAUUUAAUUCAUAUUGACAUAUGGGGUGGUUAUAAAGUUGCUUCGAUUUCAGGUGCCAAAUAUUUUCUUACCAUUGUUGAUGAUUACACUAGAUGCACAUGGAUUUAUCUUAUGAAACACAAGUCUGAUGCUAGGACUCUUCUAGUUAAUUUCAUCAAUAUGAUUGCCACUCAAUUUGAUUCCAAAAUUAAGAUCAUCUGUAG
rnacentral:lncRNA from 1 species